rnacentral:rRNA from 1 species
CUAUACAUGCAGUCGAGCGGACAGAUGGGAGCUUGCUCCCUGAUGUUAGCGGCGGACGGGUGAGUAACACGUGGGUAACCUGCCUGUAAGACUGGGAUAACUCCGGGAAACCGGGGCUAAUACCGGAUGCUUGAUUGAACCGCAUGGUUCAAUUAUAAAAGGUGGCUUUUAGCUACCACUUACAGAUGGACCCGCGGCGCAUUAGCUAGUUGGUGAGGUAACGGCUCACCAAGGCAACGAUGCGUAGCCGACCUGAGAGGGUGAUCGGCCACACUGGGACUGAGACACGGCCCAGACUCCUACGGGAGGCAGCAGUAGGGAAUCUUCCGCAAUGGACGAAAGUCUGACGGAGCAACGCCGCGUGAGUGAUGAAGGUUUUCGGAUCGUAAAACUCUGUUGUUAGGGAAGAACAAGUACCGUUCGAAUAGGGCGGUACCUUGACGGUACCUAACCAGAAAGCCACGGCUAACUACGUGCCAGCAGCCGCGGUAAUACGUAGGUGGCAAGCGUUGUCCGGAAUUAUUGGGCGUAAAGCGCGCGCAGGCGGUUUCUUAAGUCUGAUGUGAAAGCCCCCGGCUCAACCGGGGAGGGUCAUUGGAAACUGGGGAACUUGAGUGCAGAAGAGGAGAGUGGAAUUCCACGUGUAGCGGUGAAAUGCGUAGAGAUGUGGAGGAACACCAGUGGCGAAGGCGACUCUCUGGUCUGUAACUGACGCUGAGGCGCGAAAGCGUGGGGAGCGAACAGGAUUAGAUACCCUGGUAGUCCACGCCGUAAACGAUGAGUGCUAAGUGUUAGAGGGUUUCCGCCCUUUAGUGCUGCAGCAAACGCAUUAAGCACUCCGCCUGGGGAGUACGGUCGCAAGACUGAAACUCAAAGGAAUUGACGGGGGCCCGCACAAGCGGUGGAGCAUGUGGUUUAAUUC